rnacentral:rRNA from 1 species
GUGGGGAAUUUUGGACAAUGGGCGCAAGCCUGAUCCAGCAAUGCCGCGUGCAGGAAGAAGGCCUUCGGGUUGUAAACUGCUUUUGUACGGAACGAAACGGUCCGGGUUAAUACCCUGGGCUAAUGACGGUACCGUAAGAAUAAGCACCGGCUAACUACGUGCCAGCAGCCGCGGUAAUACGUAGGGUGCAAGCGUUAAUCGGAAUUACUGGGCGUAACGCGUGCGCAGUCGGUUUUGUAAGACAGGCGUGAAAUCCCCGGGCUCAACCUGGGAAUUGCGCUUGUGACUGCAAGGCUGGAGUGCGGCAGAGGGGGAUGGAAUUCCGCGUGUAGCAGUGAAAUGCGUAGAUAUGCGGAGGAACACCGAUGGCGAAGGCAAUCCCCUGGGCCUGCACUGACGCUCAUGCACGAAAGCGUGGGGAGCAAACAGGAUUAGAAACCCCGGUAGUAC